UUAUAAUUUAUAGAUUCAGGUAUCGAGCAUGAGUGCUCGAUUUAAAAGGAAGCAGGUGUGAUUCCUGCACGGUCCCGCCGCUGUAAUGGAGAGAUGGUUCGUGGAUGCCACUGGUUUGAUCUGGGAAGGCGCGAAACAUUGAUGACACAGAGUCAGAAGACCUACCUGUUUUUAUACACCCAA
rnacentral:ncRNA from 2 species